UGGGGAAUAUUGGACAAUGGGCGAAAGCCUGAUCCAGCCAUGCCGCGUGUGUGAAGAAGGUCUUCGGAUUGUAAAGCACUUUAAGUUGGGAGGAAGGGCAGUAAGCGAAUACCUUGCUGUUUUGACGUUACCGACAGAAUAAGCACCGGCUAACUCUGUGCCAGCAGCCGCGGUAAUACAGAGGGUGCAAGCGUUAAUCGGAAUUACUGGGCGUAAAGCGCGCGUAGGUGGUUCGUUAAGUUGAAUGUGAAAGCCCCGGGCUCAACCUGGGAACUGCAUCCAAAACUGGCGAGCUAGAGUAGGGCAGAGGGUGGUGGAAUUUCCUGUGUAGCGGAGAAAUGCGUAGAUAUAGGAAGGAACACCAGUGGCGAAGGCGACCACCUGAGCUCAUACUGACACUGAGGUGCGAAAGCGUGGGGAGCAAACAGG
rnacentral:rRNA from 1 species